AGAUCUUGCAUUACUCGGUGCAUGCUGUAGCAGUCUAUUGUUGAAUGUGUGCUAUUUGGGUGCCAUGGGCAUUGUUUUUUGAGUAGUUUGAUGAAGCUUCGUCUGUCGUCGUGUUUGCGGGAUCCCUUCUUUCCUGAGUUGGUCAUGGAAGCAACAGUGUUGUCAGGCUUGCAUUUGCAAUUUUGGUUGCUCAAGUAAUUGUUUCGAGUAUUG
rnacentral:lncRNA from 1 species